rnacentral:lncRNA from 1 species
GACGGCCCGGCUUGGGUUUGAAUUUUGACAUUGCUCUUGCACCCUGGGCAGGUUGUCAAACUCCCCAGCCUCAAGAUCUUCCUCUGCAAAUAAGGACAAUAAUGGUACCACCUUGAAGAUUUCUUUGAGAGUUUGAUGAGAUGAGGCUCAAAAAUAACAAGCACAUGGUAAACAUGGGCUGUUGAGUUUGCUUAAUCGAAAGCUAAUAUAAAUUACCAAUAUCCAAAACAGAUUGAAGUGUUUUGCUAGUACAAGCUCAUCCUAUGAGAUGAUGAAUUCAGUCAUCUUUCCUCUCAAAUGCAAACCCAACUUUUCCUACCGAUUGUCCUUAAUGUGUUAAAAUUUGGGAUGGAAUAUCUUUAAGUGUGAUUUUUUUAAUAUUAGAUUUUAAAUUGUAAAAAAAAUUAAAUUGUAAAAAUAAAUGAAAUUGAAACUGAGCAUCCAGGGAACUCUUGGAAUGCUUCCAAGGAAGGCUGGGUGUAGUGAAACACAAUUUUAAAAACCACAGAUCUCACCUUGCAGUAUGAUAGGGCAGCCCUUGACCAUAUUGAGCUAUUGAGCAAGUGAAUUUGGCCAGUCUACACUGAGAUGUGUAUAAGGACCUUAAAGACCUAAGCCUUUUGGGGAUAAAAAUUACAAUAAAAUAAUGUGUUUCUUAAAAGUUUUCAAAAAUCAAUUACUUAAUUUAUUUUUUGGGUACCAGGGAUUGAACUCAGGGGUACUCAACCACUGGACCACAUCCCCAGCCCUGUUUUAUAUUUUAUUUAGAGACAGGGUCUCCCUGAGUUGCUUAGUGUCUCACUGUUGCUGAGGCUGGCUUUGAACAUGUAGUCCUCCUGUCUCAGCCUCCCCAGCUGCUGGGAUUAUAGGCAUGCCCCAUUGUGCCUGGCUUGCUUUAUUUAUUUAUUUAUUUAUAUUUUU